AACGAACGCUGGCGGCGUGCCUAACACAUGCAAGUCGAACGUGAUUGGGGAGCUUGCUCCUCAUGAAAGUGGCGCACGGGUGAGUAACGCGUAGAUAAUCUGCCUGAUGAUCUGGGAUAACACUUCGAAAGGGGUGCUAAUACCGGAUAAGCCCACGGUGUCUUUGGACACUGCGGGAAAAGGGGGGGACCUUCGGGCCUUCUGUCAUCAGAUGAGUCUGCGUACCAUUAGCUAGUUGGUAGGGUAAAGGCCUACCAAGGCGACGAUGGUUAGCUGGUCUGGGAGGAUGAUCAGCCACACUGGAACUGAGACACGGUCCAGACUCCUACGGGAGGCAGCAGUGGGGAAUUUUGCGCAAUGGGGGAAACCCUGACGCAGCAACGCCGCGUGAGUGAUGAAGGCCCUUGGGUCGUAAAGCUCUGACAGAGGGAAAGAAAUGCAGGGAGGUUAAUACCCUUUUUGCUUGACGGUACCCUCAAAGGAAGCACCGGCUAACUCCGUGCCAGCCGCCGCUGUAAUAC
rnacentral:rRNA from 1 species